GUCAUGGGGGAAAGCAAAGAUAAACUCUGGGAAAAGUGUUGCUUCUGUUCUACUCAGGCUGUUACCAUAGUAACAGCGGAGCUUAUCAACAACAGGCGAUGUUUUGUUUUAGCAAAGAUAUUAACGGUAACUAGCAAGCAGGCUAUCAAAUGAAUAUUAGCUAGCUGAUGAGAUCAAAUGGCUGACAAACGUGGUUUGGAGAAACUGGACUUUUGUGCAUUAAGCAUCGAGCAACAGCAGCAACUCCGACAAUUUAAGAGAUGUAUUUCUCAAAAGACCCACAGACAUUCGAGAGUCUGCAGCAGAUUACUUCACCGACCCAAACCUUGGGUUGAUCAUUGGCUCCAAACUGCAGGGCGAUCCUGCCGACACAGGCACAGACUGAAUCCUUACCGGAUUGUUUGGCAGUUCAACGGUUAUUGAAGUGUAAAGCCUCUUUCCCUGUGUUCUGUACGUCCUCUGUAUUGACUAGUUAUGUGUCAAAGUAACGUGAUACAAAUGAUAAAACAUGAUAUAAAGUGGGAAUGUACUGGCACCCAGGCAUAUGUUCUUACUGAGCAUCAUUACAACAGGUUAGUUACAGGGCUACAGAAGGAUGUUUUAUACCGCUGGUUGAGAGGGAAAUAUAGAUUUCUAGGCCUAUAGGGUGGUGUGGACAGCCUCUUUACAGGAGUUCUCAGGGGAAAGUCUAAAUGGGAUCAUUGGGACGUCCCAACUCUGACGUUAAGCCAUCGAAGUUGAAAUAUAAAACGGUUAAGUUUACCGAUGUCCCAAGGAUUCCGGAUAGCACUAACCUUUUUCUCAAGCCCCAAGAGUUCCCCCUUCUGGACUCUUAUGUACUUCCACUAACUCCCCAACUCAUCAGAUAAAUCAAAAAACAUUAAGCAAGAUGAGGCAAUACUGACCAUAACUUUAGAAUGAUCUGACCACACUGGAUACACAGUUUAAAUGUUUAAUGAAUUAAAAAUCAUCAAGUAACCAGCGCAUCAGGCUUUGCUUUAUUAAAAACAUACAUAGCGCAGUAAAAACAGGUACAUUUAAUCUGUUACAAAGCAUGAUAAAAUCAUUCAGAAUUCUGUUUGAUUCACAUUUUAUAAUCUGACACGCGACAAAAAUAGGCACAUCUGGUUGAACAAUUAAGUGAUUGUAUAGAGAAGAAGACCCUGAAAUUGUAUAAAAACCUAGACCCUGACAAUAUUGGACAUUUCAACAGUAGGCCUACGUAGUACAUUCUGUAACCAACAUACUGUGGUAGAGCAUGUGAAUAGAGCUUUUAAAUCCUGAGCGAACAGGCACAAAUCAUCAAUGUUUAGACACGUCAAUGUUAAAAGGUAACAGAGAUUUCCUUUUUAUAUAUACAAGAUUGUCAGUAACUUACAUUGUUAGAUUUUUGUUCAGGCAAUUGACUGUCCCUCUCUUAUGGCUUGUAUUGGGCUCCAGGAAUCCAGAAUUGUAUCUUAGACACAGAUCUAGGAUCAGAUUACAUUAUGUAAAACCUUAAACAUAAUCCUUAGGUAGUAAAACACACAACAGACCUUACAACAGUGUCUAUAGGCAACAUCAUCCUACUGCCUUUAGCUCAGAGUAGUGUACCAGUCUCCUGACCCCAGAGCCCAUCUACAUUCCACAGUAUGAUGGAGCUAUCAAUACACACUGAUCUGAUCCAAGGUCAGUGUUGCGUUAUCCCCUAAUGGUAAUGGUUAAGAUUCAAAGAGGGUAAGCUGGCCCUGGAUCUGUGCCUAUUAAACAAUCUCACACACUUACUGUACACAUGGGACUUUAACCACAACAUUCAAAGGAGUUUCAACCAACCCCGAUAAAAGUUAGUGUUCUUUUAUGUUGUGUCUUACUUACACAGCAUUUUAAUGGUAAAGCAGA